GGGUGGUCGGCGGUGUCUUGGGGUGCAUCAGAAGUGGGGUUUUCACCCUUUCCAGACAGCUUGUUCAAGAAAUCCAUUGCAAAGUAAAACUCAAUAAAAGUAGAUAAGUAGUUUUGUGAUUUUGCAGAGAUGUUGAAGGGGGCGCCAGGGUAUAAAUAGAACACUUAAGAUAUUACAUUGUAGUUGUGCGACGCGAUUGGAACACGACAUGUACUUACUUAGUGGGUGGGGCCCGGAGAUAUCUUGCCGACAACUUCUUGUGGAUAAGAUUAAUCUAAAAUAUCAUGAUUAGAAAUUAUACUUUUUCGACAAUUUUAUAUUUUUUGUUCAAUUAAUGGGCACACCGUAU
rnacentral:lncRNA from 1 species